AGGUUAAGUUAAUCAGGGCCUGUGGUGGAUGCCUUGGUGCCAAGGGCCGAUGAAGGGCGUAGAAAGACUGCGAUAAGCCUCGGUUAGCUGUCUAUCAAGCGUAACCGUGGAUUCCCGAAUGGGGAAACCCAUCCUGGCAAAACCAGGAUAGCUCUAACCUAACCCUUAAGUUAGAGCGGGUAAGCGAGAGAACUGAAACAUCUCAGUACCUCGAGGAAAAUACAUCAACCGAGAUUCCCUUAGUAGUGGCGAACGAACGGGGAUCAGCCUAAACCGAUUGAACUUAGUGGACGGGGGUCCUAUGUUCAAUCGGUGUUGUAAGACAUGUCUGAACGAGCCCCUGCGAGUUCAGAGAGUAAGAAACCAAUUUCCUAGCCGAACACUCUGGAAAGAGUGACCAUAGCAGGUGAUAGUCCUUUAGGCGAAAGGGCGUUGGCUCUCGACAUUGUUCUUAAGUACCGCGGGACACGAGGAAUCCCGUGGGAAUCUGGGGGGACCACCCUCCAAGGCUAAAUACCCUUGGCGACCGAUAGCGUACCAGUACCGUGAGGGAAAGGUGAAAAGAACCCCGAGAGGGGAGUGAAAUAGAUCUGAAACCGCAGGCCUACAUACGGUCGAAGCCCCAAUUUAUUGGGGUGACGGCGUGCUUAUUGAAGAAUGAGCCGACGAGUUAAUUUCCGCGGCAAGGUUAACUUCUUGGAAGAAGGGAGCCGAAGCGAAAGCAAGUCUUAAUAGGGCGAUUGAGUCGCGGGGAUUAGACCCGAAACCGGGUGAGCUACCCAUGGCCAGGGUGAAGCUCCGAUAAUCUCGGAGUGAAGGCCCGAACUCGUGGACGUUGCAAAGUCCUGGGAUGAGCUGUGGGUAGAGGUGAAAUGCCAAUCGAACUCGGAGAUAGCUGGUUCUCCCCGAAAUGCAUUGAGGUGCAGCGUUAAGGAUGAAUAUUGGAGGUAGGGCUCUGGAUGGGCUAGGGGGCGUGAGCUUACCAAACCCAACCAAACCACCAAUGCCAAUAUAUCUUACCUUGGCAGUGAGACAGUGGGGGAUAAGCUUCAUUGUCAAAAGGGAAACAGCCCAGACCACCGGCUAAGGCCCCAAAGUGUUAACUAAGUGGGAAAGGAAGUGAGGUCGCCCAGACAACCAGGAGGUUGGCUCAGAAGCAGCCAUCCUUUAAAGAGUGCGUAAUAGCUCACUGGUCGAGGGAUCCUGCGCCGAAAAUCCAACGGGGCUCAAGUUAACCGCCGAAGCCGUGGCUUCAGUUGCGUUCGCGCAUACUGAGGGGUAGGGGAGCGUUCCUCAGGCACUGAAGGUGAAUCGUGAGAUUUGCUGGAGCGUGAGGAAGUGAGAAUGUCGGCAUGAGUAGCGUAAACCAGUGUGAGAAUCACUGGCACCGAAAGUCUAAGGUUUCCUACGCAACGUUGUUCGGCGUAGGGUUAGUCGGUCCUAAGCCGUAGCCUAAAGGCGAAGGCGAUGGACAACGGGUCAAUAUUCCCGUACCACCUUUAUCUCGCUUUAAAGCAAAGGGGGGACGCGGAAAGGUAGGCGAAGCGCACCCAUUGGACAUGGUGCGUCUGCCUCUGAAGGCCAUGCCGGGAUAGGCAAAUCCGUUCCGGCGUUACGAGCUGAGGGAGGUGGAAACUUUGAGGUUUCCUCAGGGAAUUUCGUUGAACCUAUACCGCCUAGAAAAUCCUCGUUGUUAUGGGAUAGGGGUGACCGUACCGCAAACCGACACUGGUAGACAGGGAGGAAACUCCCAAGGUGUUCGAGAGAACCAUCCUUAAGGAACUCGGCAAUUUAACCCCGUAACUUAGGAAAAAGGGGUGCCCCGGAGGUGAAUGGACUUGCUCCUGGAGCUUCUUGGGGUCGCAGUUAAUUAGGCCAAGCGACUGUUUAACAAAAACACAGGUCUGUGCUAAGGGGAAACCCUAUGUAUACGGGCUGACGCCUGCCCAGUGCUGGAAGGUUAAGGAGAGGGGUGAAUCCCGAUUUAUCGGGAGGCAGCUCUGAACUGAAGCCCCAGUGAACGGCGGCCGUAACUAUAACGGUCCUAAGGUACCGAAGUCCCUUGUCGGGUAAAUUCCGACCCGCAGGAAAGGCGUAACGACUUGGUCGCUGUCUCAAGGAUGGACUCGGUGAAAUUGCAAGGCCCGUGAAGAUGCGGGUAACCCGCGACAGGACAAAAAGACCCCGUGGAGCUUUACUGCAUCCUGACAUUGGAAUGGGGUCAGAGUUGUGUAGGAUAGGUGGGAGGCUAUGAAGUUUCGACGCCAGUCGGGACGGAGCCGUUGUUGAAAUACCACUCUUCUCUGUCUUUGUUUCUAACCCUGGAUAGGCCAGGGGACCGUGUCUGGUGGGCAGUUUGACUGGGGCGGUCGCCUCAUAAAAGGUAACUGAGGCGCCCAAAGGUUCCCUCAAGGUGGAUUGGAAAUCACCUGUAGAGUGUAUUGGCAUAAGGGAGCUUGACUGUGAGACAAACAAGUCGAGCAGGGACGAAAGUCGGGCAAAGUGAUCCUACGGUUCCGUGUGGAAGGGCCGUGGCUUAUCGGAUAAAAGCUACCCCGGGGAUAACAGACUAAUCUCGCCCAAGAGUUCAUAUCGACGGCGAGGUUUGGCACCUCGAUGUCGGCUCGUCGCAUCCUGGGGCUGAAGAAGGUCCCAAGGGUCCGUCUGUUCGCCGGUUAAAGCGGCACGCGAGCUGGGUUCAGAACGUCGUGAGACAGUUCGGUCUCUAUCCGUCGUGGGCGCAGGAGAUUUGAGGGGAGCUCUCCCUAGUACGAGAGGACCGGGAGGGACAGACCUCUGGUGUGCCGGUUGUUCUGCCAAGGGCAACGCCGGGUAGCCACGUCUGGAGUGGAUAAGCGCUGAAAGCAUAUAAGUGCGAAGCCCUGCCCAAGACUAGAUCUCCCAUCUCCGUUAGGAGAGUAAGAGCACAGGUAGACUACCUGUUUGAUAGGCCGCAUGUGGAAGUCCCGUGAGGGAUGCAGCUAAGCGGUACUAAUAGCUCGAGGACUUGACCUG
rnacentral:rRNA from 1 species